CAGUUCAUGGUUUUGCAGGAUAGUCCUAACCAUGCGUUGGUAUUAGUUGCAAUGGCUUGCUACCUUAUGAAGUGGAGGUUCCAAGUAUUGACUAUAAUUUCUCUCCUACUGCAUUAGCAUAGCAGGAAAUUCACUGAGCCCAAGUGAUGGAGCCAACUUCUAGGUUUCAGGUGCAUCAUGGUAAGUUAGAUAUGAGGUCAACCUUCUAAUGGUGCAGUCUGGUCAUGGUUUGGCUUGUGAGGCACAAGAAUCCUGCAAGUCUGGCCUGAAGCUUACAGCAGGUUUGAGUUUGCUUCGAGUUGAUGCUUGCUUGGUCUUAUUCCUCUGUUGCAAUUCUUGCCCCAAUUUGGUUGGACACCCUAGCUGAUAUUUGAUGAAUGCUUGGAAUAGUUGAUGUGCACUGAAGUGAGUCAUGUUCUUUUAGCCAUUUAUUGGUUUGUGAGGGAAAAUAUGGGAGCAGGUAGUGCCAAGUGAAUGCUCAUGACUGGUCAUUGCAGAUGGUGUUUGAAUUGAAACCAUGUGGACUUAGGUUGAUGACCUACUGAACCUGGGGUAAGUUUUACUUCAUUUGUAAUUUUCAGUUUUGUUGGGUGUUAUAAGAUCUUUUUAGAUUAAGUUAUGCACUCAUUUGGAACAUGAGGCCAAUAUUGUAACUGAUUCUGAAGGUUCCUUCCUGGUUGUGAUAAGGUUGUUGAGUUGGUUAAAAUGAAUAUGAGCUGCAGGAUGUUGUUAUGUGCAACAUUGGCUUGUGAAAUGCUGCUAGGUUGAAGUCCCAUGUGGUGGCUUGGUCAGGAUGUGGUCCGUUUGGCAUGGCAAUAUGGUUUACUGCAGGAUCAUAACAGGCCUGCUAUAUGAAGCUUGCACAUUAGCUGGUUUAAUGAUGUAAUGUGAUGCAUGUCUGCUAUUGAUUCUGCUGUAGUUUGUUGUGUUUGCUACUCUGGUUUUGCACUGCAUUGAGUGGACUGAUACUUGCUUGUUAUGGUUUCUUGCAGGAUUGUUGAAUGGUUGUAGAUGUUGCAGCUUGAGGUGAGGGGCUGGGGUACUGCUUCUUCUUAAUGUUUGUAAUGGCUAUGGUGAAGGGUUGCUUAUAGAUGAUAUGGCCUAUUGUAGGUAUGGAUCGUGUUGACAUAUCAUAGCCAAAUAGAAGUGGAUGAAACAUUUGCUGUUAUGGAUUGUGGUUGAAUUUGAAGUGUUGUUGCUGUUUGUUGAUGGACUAAAGUGGACUUGUUAUUGUUGAUCAAUGCAUGCUAGUCCAAGGUUUAAGAUGAUGUAGGCAUAUGCUUGCAGCUAGUCAUGGUAUGCUGCAGGAUUGUUAAACAUGUCUACUGCAGUAAGGCAGGGCAAUAACUGAUGCACAACAGGUUACCAUGUGGGAAAUGAGGACUUGGUUUGGCAAGCCAAAAACAAGGUUUGACAAGCCAAAAGACCAAGGCAAGGCAUGGUACACAUGAAGUUGAAAAUGAGACAUCUUACUUGGAAAUGAAGAAACAAAAGGGAAACACAACCAACAUGGAAAUUGGAUGAAGAAUCAAGGCAAAAGGCUAGAGUAGGUUUUAUAUGGUCAAAAAAUGGGUGAGUUGACUUCGGUCAAAGUUGACCAAAAAGUCAACUAUCCAUCCAAGUCAACAAUUGGUUAUAAUUAUUUUUUCUUCUUCUUGUAAAUGGACAUUUAAUGGAUGAUUAUGGGUGAAUUUAGGACAUUAGGGAUUUGGGUUGACUUUGAUCAAAGUUGACCAAAAAGUCAAUUGUUGACCAAAGUCAACAUUUGGUCAAAAGUUGCCAAGGCUUGUAAUUUUUCAUGU